GCCCACUAUGACAACAGGAAGCAAAGGUCAGAGGGACUGGCCGUAGGCACAUGUGAAGCUUUCUUGCCAAUCUUCAUUGAACUCACACUUCAAAAGUCAUGGUUUUCUCUUUGUUUUAUUGUAAUUUUCUGUUUUAUUAUAAAGAAGAUUGCAGAAAAGAGGCAGAAUAGGAGAGCUGAAAGACAAAAAAAGAGUAUCUAAACAACAGAGGACACAUACUGGAAUCUCUGGAGCUCAUCCCUUCAGAGGGCCCUUCCCAGAAGAACUGUAUCUCCACUUCCUCGGUUCUCUGGAAUAAAUUACAACCUUAUGACUCAUGAGUCCAAACAGGACAGUCUUUACGUCUACCCAUCUUAUGACUGAUGUGGCUCUCAAGGAACAAUAAAACCUAAGCAAAUUAUGGGAACAAGCAUUUAUCAACCACGCAAAUGAAGCCAUUCUUUAGUUUUUCUACACCAGGAGUUCCAAAAUCAAGCUACAUUCAAAGAGAGAAACAACACAUUGGAUACUCAAGUUAUGAACCGUGAGAAGAGUCAGAAAUUCCUUAUAGGAUAGAACAUGUGCAAUUGAAAUCUAAUAUUAAGUUUUCUGUGGAAAAACACAUAUAUGUGUACUAUAUGGCUAUCUGAUCAUUUUAAAAACAUACUCAGAAUACUUUAAUAAAACACUGUGAGUAUGAAUUAUCUAUGCUUUAAACACUUUACUUCUCUUUCUGCAUUUAUGCCAUCACUUCUUAUCUCUUCAUACCUUGAACUUUUUCUUUUCCCCCUCUCUCACUCUAUGACUCCUGAACAAAACUGUCAUUUCCAAUAUCUAACUUCAUUAACUAAGUAGGGAUGGCAGAUGUUUAUUAUCACCAAAAUGCAGCAUAACAUUUGCAAACUGGUUUAUGACAUGCAUCUUUAUAAAGUGCUCAGUGAAAUGCAUAAACGAUUGAUUGAAAAUUGGUCAAAGAGAAUAUUGAGUACUUUAUUAGUUACUGGCUAAAGCUAAGGAGUUACAGAAAAGCAUCAUAUCUAAAUAAGGAGUUUUAUUUGAAAUAUGUAAUUUCAUUAUGAAUAAAUUCCAUAAAAUAAACUAAGAAUUGCUAAAUGA
rnacentral:lncRNA from 1 species